rnacentral:tRNA from 1 species
UCCUUCGUAGCUCAGAUGGUAAAGAAUCUGCUUUCAAUGCAGGAGACCCAGGUUUGAACCCUGGUCAGGAAG